rnacentral:rRNA from 1 species
CGGACGGGUGAGUAACGCGUGAGAAUCUGCCAAAAGGACGGGGACAACAGGGGGAAACCGCUGCUAAAACCCGAUGUGCCGGAAGGUAAAAAAUUUAUUGCCUUUUGAUGAGCUCGCGUCAGAUUAGCUAGUUGGUAAGGUAAAAGCUUACCAAGGCGACGAUCGGUAGCUGGUCUGAGAGGACGAUCAGCCACACUGGGACUGAGACACGGCCCAGACUCCUACGGGAGGCAGCAGUGGGGAAUUUUCCGCAAUGGGCGAAAGCCUGACGGAGCAAGACCGCGUGAGGGAGGAAGGCUCUUGGGUUGUAAACCUCUUUUCUCAGGGAAGAACAAAAUGACGGUACCUGAGGAAUCAGCCUCGGCUAACUCCGUGCCAGCAGCCGCGGUAAUACGGAGGAGGCAAGCGUUAUCCGGAAUUAUUGGGCGUAAAGCGUCCGCAGGUGGCACUUCAAGUCUGUCGUCAAAGACUGGGGCUUAACCCUGGAAAGGCGGUGGAAACUGAAGCGCUAGAGUGUGGUAGGGGUAGAGGGAAUUCCCGGUGUAGCGGUGAAAUGCGUAGAGAUCGGGAAGAACAUCGGUGGCGAAAGCGCUCUACUGGACCACAACUGACACUCAGGGACGAAAGCUAGGGGAGCGAAUGGGAUUAGAUACCCCAGUAGUC